rfam:Paxillus rubicundulus Ve08.2h10 scaffold_389_c1, whole genome shotgun sequence.
GGACUGGUAACUCAGUUAGAAAAGCACCACUGUAUUAUGCUGGAGGCCACAGGUUCAAUCCCUGUCUAGUCCA